GUACAUUCGAGAGAGGAAGUUCCCCACCUUGGAACUGAGAACACGUCCAACCCUACGGAGGCAGCAGGAGGAUAUUGGUCCAUGACCGAGUCUGAUAAGCAGUAGCGUGCAGAUGACGCCCUAUGAGUGUAAACUGCUUUUGUACGGGAAUAAAGUGCGGGACGUGUCCCGUUUUGUAUGUACCGUAGAUAAGGACCGGCUAAUUCCGUGCCAGCAGCCGCGGUAAUACGAAGGUCCGGGCGUAUCCGGGAUUUAUUGGGUUUAAAGGGAGCGCAGGCUGGAGAUUAAGCGUGACGUGAAAUGCCGCGGCUCAACCGUGGAAGUGCGUCGCGAACUGGUUUCCUUGAGUGUAUUCGACGUCAGCGGAAUUCGUGGUGUAGCGGUGAAAUGCUUAGAUAUCACGAAGAACUCCGAUUGCGAAGGCAGCUGGCGAGGCUAUAACUGACGCUAAAGCUCGAAGGUGCGGGUAUCGAACAGGAUUAGAUACCCUGGUAGUCCGCACGGUAAACGAUGGAUGCCCGCUGUAUGCGAUAUACUGUAUGCGGCCAAGCGAAAGCGUUAAGCAUCCCACCUGGGGAGUACGCCGGCAACGGUGAAACUCAAAGGAAUUGACGGGGGCCCGCACAAGCGGAGGAACAUGUGGUUUAAUUCGAUGAUACGCGAGGAACCUUACCCGGGCUUGAACUGCAGGAGAACGAUUCAGAGAUGAUGAGGUCCUUCGGGACUCCUGUGGAGGUGCUGCAUGGUUGUCGUCAGCUCGUGCCGUGAGGUGUCGGCUUAAGUGCCAUAACGAGCGCAACCCCUGCGACUAGUUGCCAUCAGGUCAUGCUGGGCACUCUGGUUGGACUGCCACCGUAAGGUGUGAGGAAGGUGGGGAUGACGUCAAAUCAGCACGGCCCUUACGUCCGGGGCUACACACGUGUUACAAUGGGAGGUACAGAGAGAUGGUGUUCCGCAAGGCGCAUCCAAUCCUAAAAGCCUUCCUCAGUUCGGAUUGGGGUCUGCAACCCGACCCCAUGAAGCUGGAUUCGCUAGUAAUCGCGCAUCAGCCAUGGCGCGGUGAAUACGUUCCCGGGCCUUGUACACACCGCCCGUCAAGCCAUGAAAGUCUGGGGUACCUGAAGUCCGUGACCGCGAGGAGCGGCCUAGGGUAAAACAGGUGAUUGGGGCUAAGUCGUAACAAGGUAAAUCACUGGCCGUCGUACCCCU
rnacentral:rRNA from 1 species